ensembl:lncRNA
AGAGCUAGCCAAGUUUCAGGCUGUUCAUUGCCUCAGAUUUUCAAGAUCCCCACUCAAGACACAACAUCAUCACCUAUACAGAGAGAGUCAAACCUGUUUACGUUUUUAUUCUGGGUGAUUAUUCUGUGUCGUGGAUAGACAAUGACCAAAAGUAUCACAGGCCAUGAUUUACUUUGAGUGAUGUAUGACUUCUGUAGUAUUAACCUAUGAUUUUUAGCUCCCUCUAAUAUAAAGCGGUAUUCCAAAUACAUUUGGAAAUUUGGUCUCUAAAAUUUUACAUGGGAUGCAUGUCAUUAGUCUGUAUUUGCAAGCCAAAAUGAUAUAGGUGAUAUGCAUUAUAACUUCUGGAAACCCUCUGGAAUGCAGAUUAGACAGAAGGUAGUCCUGGCUGUUGCUUGGGAACAGAUAAUUGUUGAAAAUCAUUCCAGUGUAUUAGAUACAGGCUUCCCAGGAAGUAAACUGUUCUGUUGGUGUCUGCUCUAGAAGAACAGUCUUGUGCUCAGCCACCUUCAUAUUACAGAAGUGUAAAGUUUAUAUGUAAAACAAUACUUUAUUUGUGAUUAAGUUAUUAUAUACUCCUGACAGAUGUAGGACAAGAUAAUAUGUACCGUAUUAUACAACUGAAUGAAGGAAUAGGUUGAUCUUGGACAGACAGAAUCUUAAGAGGAAAACAAAAUUAUUAUGUUAUUAAAUAAUUACCAAAUAGUUUCUUUCAAGGAGCCAUUGAUAAUAAGUGCUAGUCAUUCUUUUGUAUUAAAUCCCAGGGAAAGUUUCCUGCUGGAUCACUGGUGUUAUCUUUAUUCUAUAGAAAAAAGGAGGUUGAGUUCUCAGUAUUAAAUAUUUUUGGAAGCACACAAACUGAUAUGAGUUUAUGGCUUCCAGAGAAACAGCAUUUCUUCUCCACCUCUUAAGCUGUUCUGAAAUAAUGGGACUUGGACAAAUAAGAAUUAGUGAAUUAUAUAUAUGUAGUAGUGAAGAAUUAGUGAAGUGACACCUUGCUUUUGGGCACCUUACUUAGGUGGGUAGCAGCUAUUCUGGACUCAUUUUUUUCCUCUGAAAAAAAUGCAACUGUAACACCUCUUCCUCCAAAACAAUAUAGAACAAAACACCCACAAAAAUGAAAAACAAACAAACAAAAAGAGAUAAGAUGAAAACCAUGGAAGAAUUAAUCCUAUUUGUGUCUCAUCUGUUUCCUGAGAUCUCCCACAGUAAUGGGUAGCAUGGCCAGAGCUUUACUCAAACAGGAUUACCAGAGUUGGAAAAAAGUGGGGAAAACUUUUAAGUAAGUGCAACAAGCCAAAGGUUUGAGUGACGAGCAGAUUGAAAAUUAGGACAUGGAAGAUUUCUAUUAAGUAAUUUCAGCUGCAGUAUGCGAAGAAUUGGCAUUGUGCAACUUGAAAUGAAUCUGGAAUGCCACAACACAUACAAGUACAUGAGGAAUACAUGGCCCAUUCUUCAGCACCAGCAAUUAAAGCGAGGUGUGGAAGAUCUUUCAAUUAUUAGAAUCUCAUCAUAUAGGAGGGGAUCGAAGUGAAAGAUGAAAUAACUGACUUUAAAAAGUAAGCUGCAUACAUAGAAGGGUUAGUUGCUGUUUUACAGCAGGAUGUGAGACAGCAUGUAUCUGACUAAUUUCUCUUCGUUAGCACCUCGACCAUUGCUCAUUUAGCCCAUGAGCUAUGUGGAAAUGAGAAUAAUUGAUAUAACUUUUUGCUCUCUUUUGUCUAUUCAAACUGUAAAUCUUUGAAUUGGAAACUGUAUUGAAUCCUCACAGUUUCCAUAGGACAGUAGUCCUGAAGCUUCCAGAACGGAACUUCGGUCUGAAUAUCAAGAAAAAGAAUAACACAGUAAAAUUACUACUGUUUUCUUAGAGUGCCCCCAAGAAUGUAAUCAGUGACAAAAAUAAUUUUGGUAUUUCU